rnacentral:sRNA from 2 species
GGCCGUAGCACGCCUAAUCCCGGGCGCCUCGCCCGGGAGCCGGGGACCCAAACCGCACCUGGGGUGAAUCCGCUACGGCGGUAGGGAAUCGCACCUCCCUUGCCCGAACCCGUCAGCUAACCCGGCCGGCAGAGGGAGAGGAACA